rnacentral:misc_RNA from 1 species
CUGAGUUUCUAACAACUCCAACCCUUUGUCGAACCUACCACUGUUUCCUCGGCGUACUGCCGCGGCCUCUGGGCCGCUGCAGCGCCGGAAGGACCGUACCAAACUCUUUUAUUUCUCCCCAGUAAAACUCAUAUAAAAUUUAUUAUAAAAUAAGUUA